rnacentral:rRNA from 1 species
GGGCGACGAUGAGGGCCGUGCAUAGGCGGGUGGCCCAAGAAGUGCCUGGCCCCUCCGGUAGGGGGUCAGGACACUAAGCCGCCCGGUGGAUGGCUCGGCUCGGGGCGCCGACGAAGGGCGUGGCAAGCUGCGAUAAGCCCCGGCGAGGCGCAGGCAGCCGUCGAACCGGGGAUUCCCGAAUGGGACCUCCCGCGGCUUAUGCCGCACUCCGGGGCUUAUGCCCCGGAGGGGGAACGCGGGGAAUUGACAUAUCUUAGUACCCGCAGGAAAAGAAAGC